CCUCAUCACUCCUACGGGAGGCAGCAGUAGGGAAUCUUCCACAAUGGGCGCAAGCCUGAUGGAGCAACACCGCGUGAGUGAAGAAGGGUUUCGGCUCGUAAAGCUCUGUUGUUAAAGAAGAACACGUAUGAGAGUAACUGUUCAUACGUUGACGGUAUUUAACCAGAAAGUCACGGCUAACUACGUGCCAGCAGCCGCGGUAAUACGUAGGUGGCAAGCGUUAUCCGGAUUUAUUGGGCGUAAAGAGAGUGCAGGCGGUUUUCUAAGUCUGAUGUGAAAGCCUUCGGCUUAACCGGAGAAGUGCAUCGGAAACUGGAUAACUUGAGUGCAGAAGAGGGUAGUGGAACUCCAUGUGUAGCGGUGGAAUGCGUAGAUAUAUGGAAGAACACCAGUGGCGAAGGCGGCUACCUGGUCUGCAACUGACGCUGAGACUCGAAAGCAUGGGUAGCGAACAGGAUUAGAUACCCUGGUAG
rnacentral:rRNA from 1 species